ACUCGAGUGGCGAACGGGUGAGUAACACGUGGGUGAUCUGCCCUGCACUUCGGGAUAAGCUUGGGAAACUGGGUCUAAUACCGGAUAGGAGCCAUCUUUAGUGUGGUGGUUGGAAAGUUUUUCGGUGUAGGAUGAGCUCGCGGCCUAUCAGCUUGUUGGUGGGGUAAUGGCCUACCAAGGCUUUGACGGGUAGCCGGCCUGAGAGGGUGACCGGCCACAUUGGGACUGAGAUACGGCCCAG
rnacentral:rRNA from 1 species